UCUUUGGUAGCCUCUCCACCUUUCUUGGCC
rnacentral:piRNA from 1 species